rnacentral:tRNA from 1 species
GGAGCCAUGCCUGAAACAAAGGAUCACUUUGAUGGGGUGAAUCAUGGAGGUUAGAAUCCCCCCGACUCCU